ACGGUCCUAAGGUAGCGAAAUUCCUUGUCAGGUAAGUUCUGACCCGCACGAAAGGUGUAACGAUUUGGGCGCUGUCUCGGCAGCAGACUCGGUGAAAUCUUAGUACCUGUGAAAAUGCAGGUUACCCGCAACUAGACGGAAAGACCCCAUGGAGCUUUACUGCAGCCUGAUAUUGAAUUCUGGUCAUACAUGUACAGGAUAGGUGGGAGACAAAGAGACGUGCACGCCAGUGUACGAGGAGUCGCCGUUGGGAUACCACUCUUGUGUGACCGGGGUUCUAACCUGGUAUCGAGAACAGGUACGGGGAGAGUGUCAGGUGGGCAGUUUGACUGGGGCGGUCGCCUCCCAAAGAGUAACGGAGGCGCCCAAAGGUACGCUCAGAUUGGAUGGAAACCAAUCGUCGAGUGCAAUUGCAGAAGCGUGCUUGACUGUGAGACAGACAAGUCGAACAGGGACGAAAGUCGGGAAUAGUGAUCCGGCGGUGCCGAAUGGAAGGGCCGUCGCUCAACGGAUAAAAGCUACCCUGGGGAUAACAGGCUGAUCUCGCCCAAGAGUUCACAUCGACGGCGAGGUUUGGCACCUCGAUGUCGGCUCAUCGCAUCCUGGAGCUGGAUUCGGUUCCAAGGGUUGGGCUGUCCGCCCAUUAAAGCGGUACGCGAGCUGGGUUCAGAACGUCGUGAGACAGUUCGGUCCCUAUCUGUUGUGGGCGAAGGAGAUCUGCGGAGAGCUGUCCUCAGUACGAGAGGACCGGGAUGGACCUACCGCUGGUGCACCGGUUGUUCCGCCAGGGGCAUAGCCGGGUAGCUAAGUAGGGAAAGGAUAAGCGCUGAAAGCAUCUAAGCACGAAGCCUACUCCAAGAUGAGAUCUCCCAUUCGCAAGAAGUAAGACCCCUUAAAGACGAUAAGGUAGAUAGGCCAGGGAUGGAAGUGCAGUGAUGUACGGAGUUGACUGGUACUAAUCGGUCGAGGACUUAAUCAG
rnacentral:rRNA from 1 species